rnacentral:rRNA from 1 species
UACAGAGACUGCAAGCGUUAUUCGGAUUCACUGGGCGUAAAGGGUGCGCAGGCGGCCGUGUGUGUGAGGCGUGAAAGCCCGGGGCUCAACCCCGGAAUUGCACCUCAAACUACAUGGCUAGAGCAUUGGAGAGGGAAGCGGAAUUCACGGUGUAGCAGUGAAAUGCGUAGAUAUCGUGAGGAACACCAGAGGCGAAGGCGGCUUCCUGGACCACAACUGACGCUGAGGCGCGAAAGCGUGGGUAGCAAACAGGG